rnacentral:rRNA from 1 species
AAAGUCGUAACAAGGUUUCCGUAGGUGAACCUGCGGAAGGAUCAUUAUUGAAAUAAACCUGAUAAGUUGCUGCUGGUUCUCUAGGGAGCAAUGUGCACACUUGUCAUCUUUGUAUCUUCACCUGUGCACCUUUUGUAGACCUGACUAUCUCUCUGAAUGCUUUUAUUAGCAAUCAGGAUUGGGAAUUGACUUCUUGGUCUUUUCUUAUAUUUUCAGGUCUAUGUUUACUCAUAUACCCUAAUGUAUGUUUAUAGAAUGUCAUUGAUGGGCCUUUGUGCCUAUAAACUUUUACAACUUUCAGCAACGGAUCUCUUGGCUCUCGCAUCGAUGAAGAACGCAGCGAAAUGCGAUAAGUAAUGUGAAUUGCAGAAUUCAGUGAAUCAUCGAAUCUUUGAACGCACCUUGCGCUCCCUGGUAUUCCGAGGAGCAUGCCUGUUUGAGUGUCAUUAAUAUUAUCAACCUUUUUGGUUGGAUGUGGGUUUGCUGGCCUCUUGAGGUCAACUUUCCUAAAAUGCAUUAGCGGACAACAUUUUUGCCAACCGUUCAUUGGUGUGAUAAUUAUCUACGCUAUUGACGUGAAGCAAGGUUCUGCUUCUAAUAGUCCAUUGACUUGGACAAGCCUUCUUUUAUUAAUUUGACCUCAAAUCAGGUAGGACUACCCGCUGAACUUAAGCAUAUCAAUAAGCGGAGGAAAAGAAACUAACAAGGAUUCCCCUAGUAACUGCGAGUGAGCGGGAAAAGCUCAAAUUUAAAAUCUGGCAGUCUUUGGCUGUCCGAGUUGUAUCUAGAGAGCAUUAUCCGCGCUGG